rnacentral:tRNA from 1 species
GGGCCGUUAGCUCAGUUGGUAGAGCAUCCGGCUUUUAACCGGAGGGUCGCAGGUUCGAACCCUGCACGGCCCA